GAUGAACGCUGGCGGCGUGCCUAAUAUAUGCAAGUCGAGCGAACGGACGAGAAGCUUGCUUCUCUGAUGUUAGCGGCGGACGGGUGAGUAACACGUGGAUAACCUACCUAUAAGACUGGGAUAACUUCGGGAAACCGGAGCUAAUACCGGAUAAUAUUUUGAACCGCAUGGUUCAAAAGUGAAAGACGGUCUUGCUGUCACUUAUAGAUGGAUCCGCGCUGCAUUAGCUAGUUGGUAAGGUAACGGCUUACCAAGGCAACGAUGCAUAGCCGACCUGAGAGGGUGAUCGGCCACACUGGAACUGAGACACGGUCCAGACUCCUACGGGAGGCAGCAGUAGGGAAUCUUCCGCAAUGGGCGAAAGCCUGACGGAGCAACGCCGCGUGAGUGAUGAAGGUCUUCGGAUCGUAAAACUCUGUUAUUAGGGAAGAACAGAUGUGUAAGUAACUGUGCACAUCUUGACGGUACCUAAUCAGAAAGCCACGGCUAACUACGUG
rnacentral:rRNA from 1 species